ACCGAAAUACCCUUAGGACGAAAACUUCCAAAUUUUGGUCAAAAAUUCUGAAAUAUCAGAUUGUAAAACUUCCAAAGUUUGAGAUGGGAAACUUCUGUGCUAGUUAAUAAUAUGUUAUUUUGGAUCUUUUUUUUUUUGCCAAAUUUAGUAAAUUUUUGUCCCAAGGAUGGCUAAAAUCCAGUAGCCGAAAGCAUCACUAGCUUACGCUCUAACCCCGAGUAGCAUGGGACACGUGGAAUCCUGUGUGAACCAACAAGAGCCACCUUGCAAGGCUAAAUACUCCUGGGUGACCGAUAGCGAAGUAGUACCGUGAGGGAAAGGUGAAAAGAAUCCCUAGUGGGUAGUGAAAUAGAACGUGAAA
rfam:Oryza barthii chromosome 11, whole genome shotgun sequence.